AUGUUCUAUUACGAGCUAGAUUUUCACGAUCUAGCUCCGGACUCCUUUAUCCAUGUCUCGGCGUUCAUCAUUGUGUGUGGGGCCUUCCUCCGUAUUCCCCCACACUUUGGCUUAUGGCUCAACACUUUUGAUGUGAAGCCGAAGGUAGUCGACGGGAAACAAGGAGAGUGCGGUGCUGUUGUAGUGAGUAAACUCACCAAUACUCCUUGGCCAAAGGGCUCCUUCACAGAAACUUCCGACCUAUGGCAGCGGGAGUGGUUUUACAUCAUUGAACCCCGCGGUACUAAGUGGGCAGCUACACCUGCGUUCCGAUCCGGCCUUCCAUUACAACUUGCAUCAUGGAUUAAUAAGUGGCUGGAAUGGGGAUCCAUUGAUGAAGUGUAG
rnacentral:rRNA from 1 species